UCUGGCAACAACUGAGCGUCUGCUAUUCCAUAGAAGUACGUGCCAAGCUUGCCUAGAGUCACGCUAUGCUGGAAGAAGUGGAAGUGGUAAUCACAUGGAACAUUACCAAAGAAAAGGCAUGCAGCUGAAAGGGAUCCUUGUGGGCUUGGCCAUCUUUGGUCUCAUUGUGGCAGAGAGCGGAGCCAUGCCUGCCAGCAGCGCAAGUGAAGCCGAGGCCAGGGCUGAUCCCGAGACUGCUGAGCGUGCCGAGCAGAGCAAUGCCGAGGAAGCACGUAUCAGCGAAGCAUGCAUGGCUUCCCUGUGCGGAUAGUAAACCGAUGCAAGAGAGUGAGACGUUCAAAAGAUUGUCUCUCGCAACAGUAGCACGAAUACUUCAAAAGACGCACCGGCGCCGUUCAGUGCUCCGCACCAUGCCCCGGUGGCGAACAUUGGGGAUUACGGGUGGCUGUUGCGCGCGCUCUUGCAUUUAAUAAAGUUGCUUUAAAAAAUCUGAA